CGAACGGGUGAGUAAUGCGUGACCAACCUGCCCCAUGCUCCAGAAUAGCUCUUGGAAACGGGUGGUAAUGCUGGAUGCUCCAACUUGACGCAUGUCUUGUUGGGAAAGUGUUUAGUGGCAUGGGAUGGGGUCGCGUCCUAUCAGCUUGUAGGCGGGGUAAUGGCCCACCUAGGCUUCGACGGGUAGCCGGCCUGAGAGGGCGGACGGCCACAUUGGGACUGAGAUACGGCCCAUACUCCUACGGGAGGCAGCAGUU
rnacentral:rRNA from 1 species